CAGCCGCCGCGGUAAUACGUAGGUGGCAAGCGUUGUCCGGAAUUAUUGGGCGUAAAGGGCUCGCAGGCGGUUUCUUAAGUCUGAUGUGAAAGCCCCCGGCUCAACCGGGGAGGGUCAUUGGAAACUGGGAAACUUGAGUGCAGAAGAGGAGAGUGGAAUUCCACGUGUAGCGGUGAAAUGCGUAGAGAUGUGGAGGAACACCAGUGGCGAAGGCGACUCUCUGGUCUGUAACUGACGCUGAGGAGCGAAAGCGUGGGGAGCGAACAGGAUUAGAUACCCCUGUAGUCCCUGUCUCUUAUAA
rnacentral:rRNA from 1 species